rnacentral:rRNA from 1 species
CAGUCGCCACGGUAAUACGUAGGUGGCAAGCGUUGUCCGGAAUUAUUGGGCGUAAAGCGCGCGCAGGCGGAUCAGUCAGUCUGUCUUAAAAGUUCGGGGCUUGGCCCCGUGAUGGGAUGGAAACUGCUGAUCUAGAGUAUCGGAGAGGAAAGUGGAAUUCCUAGUGUAGCGGUGAAAUGCGUAGAUAUUGGGAGGAACACCAGUGGCGAAGGCGGCUCUCUGGCUUGUAACUGACGCUGAGGCUCGAAAGCGUGGGGAGCAAACAGGAUUAGAUACCCCCGUAGUCCCUGUCUCUUAUACC